rnacentral:rRNA from 1 species
AACGAACGCUGGCGGCAGGCUUAACACAUGCAAGUCGAACGCUCGGAGCGAUCCGGGAGUGGCGGACGGGUGAGUAACGCGUGGGAACGGUGCCCUCGAGGUUGGGGAAGUAAACUGCGGGGAAACGUAGCAGCUAAUACCUGAUGAGCCCCGACGCAAUCGGGGGAAAGGAAUUUAUUCGCCUUGGGAGGCGGCCCGCGUCGGAUUAGCUAGUUGGUUGGGGUAACGGCCGUACCAACGGCUUCGAUCCGUAGCUGGUCUGAGAGGACGAUCAGCCACACUGGGACUGGAGACACGGCCCAGACUCCUACGGGAGGCGAGCAGUGGGAAGUCGUUCGCAAUGGGCGAAAGGCCUGCGCAGCAACGCCG